rnacentral:lncRNA from 1 species
ACCGUGGUACGCAUUCCAGUUCACUUCAGAAACCUCCAGCCGAUUUAUGGUGAAGGAUCCUUCCUUUUCAACCUCACAUUUUACUUCAGCUGGGGAAGGUGUAUAUUGAGGAAUAUUGAAGGAAUCCAUCUUCUCCUCAUCUAUGAGCCCCUGCAUUUAAAAAUGGUUAAUUAAUUUACAUGCAAUUUCAUAUAUAGUUACCACACAGGUGCUGUUGCUGAAUGAUUUGAUCUAUACAAAUUGGCAACAUUAAGGGAUGAAAGAAUUAAAAGCGUACCUCUGAAACCAUAUCAUUGAGAGCCACAGCUAAGAGCUCCCAGAUAUAGCAACAUUCUUUGCUAGAGGGAUCUUCACUUCUUCUUCCUAAAAAUGUUAAAACCAUAGUCCCUCCUCCUAGUAGUUCCUCCGACCGACACCUGAGAAACAUGGAGAAAUCGCUUUGGAAUUGCUCAUAGUAUGCUUUAAGCACGCUUGGUGGGCUCGAACUGGCCAUGUAAAUAUUCCCUUUGUUCUCCAGCCCUCGAGGAACCUGAUGAACAAUUGAAGUUUCUAACUCACUUGCUUUCUUUUUGGUUACUAAUAAAUCAUCAUAAACCAGUAUUUUUAAUUAAAAGCAAAGAGUCACCUGAGACAACCAUUGGAGACUAUAAGAAGAAUGGACAAAAUGGAGACUUUUGCUGGGGAAGAGCCUGCCGUAGAAAGAGCCUGGAACUCCGGUUACAAAACAUGAUUCAGCGCCUGCUCCCAUUGUUUUCUGAAGAUCUUUUUGGAACUUGGGCAAGGAUUUGAAAAUGGUGUUGAAAUCAUUUCCCGGCAGAUCAUUCAAAAACACUUGAAUUUCGGGCAAUUGACGCCCCAUUUUCUUCCCCACCUUGUCCACUGUAGUGACAACUUCCAAGACUGCAAAAAAAGUGUUGGGUCCAGAAGAACAGCCCAAGUCUGCGAUGCAUAGGCUGGCCGGGAAGUUGUUGCAGUAGAGAUUUGUUAUGGCGUCCUCGAUUAUAGGCUUUGUCAAGGAUAUUACUUUUUUCUGCACCAUUAAAGUGGGGAACUUGUCAUAAUUGAAAACUUUUCAUAAAAACGGCAGUAUAUUGUACCUGCAUGAUAAAAACACAAAACCUGGAAGUGGAUGGGUGCUACAGAUCAAUCAGCAUGUCUUGACUAUUCAUUCUUUAAUUUAAGAAAAGGAAACAGUUCGUAUAUAUAAUAUAUGCAUGUCAGCUGAUGCUUAAAUAUUGAAGAAAAUCAAGUUUAGCAAGAGACACACCUGAACUAAUGAGUUUUUUGCGUAACUGGUGUCCCCAUUUCCUCCCUUCAUGCAAAGCACUUGAGCUACUUCCAUCUCUUUCGUCCUACCUCUUCGCUGAUUGCUUCCUCUCAGUUGGAAUGUGGAUUAUGUUGAAGGAGAUGCUCCCCAUUUAUAGAACUUGGGCCACAUCGUCGUGGAAUGAAUUAUUUCAUCUUCUAGGGGCUCUGCUUCCACCGAACCCCAGUGACUCCUGGAAUUGGUGGACUAAUUAUUGUACUGAUCCCACGUGGUCGGCAGUCCUGAGGCCUGACAUCCACCAGAAGAUAGUACGCCACGUGGCAUACUGUCCAUCAAUGACUCGUUUAUCUCCGUUCAUCUCCGCGUGGGCCUAGGCUACCUAUUCAAGUAAUUAGGUCGGCAGCACUUUUGGAAACGGUUACCGGUUCUCAAUUAUUUUUUGAAACAAAAAAUAGAAGUACUUCAAAGGAAUGUGACAUUUUAUGUUUCACGUGAUCGAUGUAAUUCAUUUAUUUGCUUUUCCUAGAAACAUGAAGCGAUUGACAGAUUCCAAAAAUAAUGGUGGUCAUGAAACACGAUGAUGAAUGUAGGACAAGGUGGAGGUGGGUGCACAGGUUGGCCGCUGCCACCUUAGAACAAAUUGGUAUUAGUUAUCACCCACAAAAUAUCGGAGGUAGCCCUGCAGACGUUUGUUAGCUGACGUUUCCAUGCAUGACAGCCUCAUGUUAUUCUUCAAUCUAGUGACAGGUUUCGUCUCCUCUGAUCUUCUUUUUCAAAAUAAUCUGAGCCACACAAACCGAUGUCUGGAAUACAGUGAACUUUAUAAAAAAAGAAAAAAAAUGUAUUUAUAAUAUAUUUCAUGUCUUUAAAAAAUAUUAUUUCUAAAAUUUGAGAUAGUAAAAAUUUAAUAUAUUAUUUUUUUUAUAUAGAUUUUAAAAUUUAUUACUAAGAUAAAUCUCAAAGAACUCCUAUCUUUUACGUGGUCUAUAUUUUAAAAUAUAAAACAAUAAAUAACCUAGUACAACAAAUGAAAUAUGAAAAAUAAGAGUUCUAAUAUGAUUUAAUUUUUCAAUAUAAUCAUCAAAUAAAUAAAAAAAUUAAAAGAUUAUCUUAGAAGGUAAAAUCAAAACAAAGAUGAAAAGAUAAUAAUUUCAAGAAUAUAUGUAUUAAUUAAACUUAACAAAUAAAAAAUAUAACAUAUAAAACUAUAAAAAUUAUUUGAUUUUCAUAUAAAAGAUCAAGUCAAAACAAAUAAUAAUUCUUAUAAAAAUAAAAUUAUUAGAUGAGACUAUUGUCUAAGAAAAUAAUGUUCUUGAAAGGACCUACAAAGAAAAGAGUUAGAACUUAGGUUUAAUUAUUAUUAUUAUUAAUAAUAAAUAAAUGAAUAUGGAAAAACAAAAGUUUUUGUAUGAUUUAAUUUUUCUAUAUUAUUAUUAAAUAAAUAAAUAAAUUUAAAAAUUAUCCAAAAAGCAAAAUAAAAUAAGAAUAAUUUCAAGAAUAUAUAUAUAUAUGAGAAUUCUUGCAAAAAUUAAAAUUAAUACUAAAAAUUAUGAUGAGAACUUUUAACAUAAUAAAGUUCUUGAGAAGAUCAAUGGAGAGAACAGUUAUAAUUUACGGUUUCAUAAAAAAAAGUUAUAGAUAAUAUCUAUAGUUUAAUUAGUUAUAUAUUGAUAAUUUAUAUGCUCAUAUAAUAUUUUAUUUUUGUAAAGUUAAAAUUUUCGCUUACAUGACUGUAUGAUUUUAUAAAAUUUCUUUUUAUUUAAUAAAAGAUUAUAAAUUAAUGUGAUUUCAAGUGAUAAGUCCUCUUAUAUUAAAUAAAAUUAUUAUAGCCUCUUUGUAUUAAAAAGCUAAGGUUGUAUUUGGUUUCCAACAAGUAUUAAUGAAAACAAAAAUUAAAUGCUAAAAAAAUGAUUUUUUUGUUUAUUUGAUUGUUCUAUGGAAAAUAUAAAAGAAAAUCAAUUAUUGUUAAGAUUAAUUAGAAAUUUAUAUAUUUUCAAAUUAUUUAAUCUUUAUAUCGAAAAAAAUAAAAUAAGUGAAAUGGGUUUGAAAUAACAUAUAAAAAUAAUUUUUUAAUUUUAAAUUUAUUUUUAUUAAAAAAUAUGAGAAUUUAUCGGAUUAUGGGAACUUGUGGAUGAUCACCCAUAUUGAUGUCUUUUUAUGACUCCCUAUAAAAGGGAGAUACCUCUAAGGAAAAUUCAUUUUAUUCUUUUCCCACAUUCUAAUUUCUCUUUCUUGUUUUCUUUUUUCACUUUAUAAUUUUACAACACGUAGAAAGAUUUUUCUCUAUUCAGAGAAACAGAAAAACGUUCUCCUUUUCAAAAAAAUAGAAAGAUUCUUCUUUCUUCUUUCUCACAAAAAGGUAUGUAAUAAACUUAUAUUAUGAUUUUCAAUUUUGUUAACCUUUGAUCUCUAUUUUCAUUUAUUUUAUUUGAAUACAUAAAUAUGUAUAAUCCCUAUAACCAGAAGUUAUGCGGUAAAUUAUAAAUUAUGGGGUAAAUUCAUAACCAGAAGUUAUGAAAAAUGUGUGCAAUUCCUAUAACCAGAAGUUAUGGGGAAAAAUUACAGAAUUAUAGAUAUAUGACCAGAAGUUAUGUAUAUGAUCCCUAAUUAUUUAUUUGUAAUUAUUCGAUAUAACUGGAUGUUAUACCAAACAAUAUUAUAUAGCUAGAAGUUAUAAAAUAAAUAAAUAAAUAAAUGUUCAUAGCCUGAAGCUAUGUACAAAUUUACAUAAAAUAAUUCAUAACUUGAAGCUAUAUAUUACUUUGCACAUUUUUGUUAUGAUAAAAUAAUCAUAGCCCGAAACUAUGAAAGAAAAUAUAUAUAUAUUAAAUUUUUAUUUUUAUUUCAUAUUUAUACAUUUUUCCCAUAUUUAUAAUUGAUAGAUUUUAGGUCAUUAUAUUUUUAGAUAUUGUUUACUUGAAAUAUUGUUAAAGCAUUUUAUUAAUAGUUUAUUAUAAUAAUUGAAAUAUUUCUCUGAUUAAUAUUAUAUAUAGUUUUUAGAUAAUGUCAAACUUGUAAAGCUUGAAUUUGUUGCCCUCGAUAUUUCGGGCAAGAACUACUUAUCUUGGGUUCUGGAUGCUCAAAUUCAUCUAGAUGCGAUGAAUCUUGGAAAUACCAUUAAAGAAGGAAAUGACGCAUCUUUGCAGGAUCGCACCAGAGCUUUGAUAUUCCUUUGCCGUCACAUUGAUGAAGGAUUAAAAGGUGAAUACCUUAUGGUUAAAGAUCCUUUCAUCCUUUGGAAUAAUCUAAGGGAACGAUAUGACCACCAAAAGACCGUAAUUCUUCCAAAGGCACGCUAUGAUUGGAUGCACUUGAGAUUACAAGAUUUCAAGUUUGUUAGUGACUACAACUUGGCCUUAUUCAAAAUUAGCUCACAAUUAAAAUUGUGUGGAGAAAAGGUCAUUGAAGAAGAUAUGCUUGAAAAAAUAUUCAAAACUUUUCAUGCCUCGAAUGUGCUCCUGCAACAGUAAUAUCAAGAGCGUUGUUUCACUAAAUAUUCAGAAUUGAUCUCAUGUCUUCUUGCGGCUGAACAAAAUAAUGAGCUAUUAUUGAAAACCCAUCAAUCUCGUCCUAUUGGGUCUAUGUCAUUGCUUGAAGCCAAUGCCACAUGUAUUCAAACCCUUGGACAGGAACAAAGACGUGGAUAUGGACGAGGUUGAGGACGUGGUAAACACAAUUCUUCUCAUCGUAGUGGUUCUCAAAGUAAAAAAGAACAACUCAAAUCACCAAAAGUGGAAUAAUUCAGAGACACAACCUGAAAAGGGGAUAGAACCACAAAGUAAACAUGCUCGUGAGAAUAACUGUCAUAGAUGUGGCAUGAAAGGACAUUGGUCACGUACUUGUCAUACUCCAAAACAUUUUGUUGACCUUUAUCAAGCCUCAAUAAAAGUAAAAGGAAAGGAAGUUGAAAUGUACUUCAUUGAUAGUGAUGGCCCGGUAGAUCCAACCCAUUUAGAUGUUUCAGAUUUCUUUGAGAAUCCUAAUGGGAAAAUUGACCAUCUAAUUGGUGAUGGAAAUGUUUGUUAUAAUUAAAUGUUACGUUCUUAUUUAGUUCCUUGCAAAUAGGUUUAUUUUGUUAUCAUCUUUAAAUACAUUGUUUAUUAUUCAUCUUUUAUAGUCUAUUUCACAUUUUAUUAUUUCUUAUUUAAAUUAUUCUCUUUAUUUAUUCUUGAAGAUACAUGGAUCUUUCUCACACUUUGGUACAUCAUACGACAUCCAAUGUAAAUGCAUGUCUUACAGAUUGUGCCACAACACACACAAUCCUUCGUGAUAAAAAAUAUUUUUCCAACAUAUCAUUGGUUAAGUCUAAUGUUAAUACAAUAUUAGGUCUUGUAGACUUGAUUCAAGGCUUCGGAAGAGCAACUAUUAUUUCACCUAGAGGAACUAAAAUCCACAUUAAUGAUGCCCUUUAUUAUACUAAAUCCAAGCGAAAUCUUCUUAGUUUCAAGGAUAUUCGCCGAAAUGGAUAUCACAUUGAAACUAUGAAUGAUGAUAGUAAUGAAUACCUUCUUAUUACUUCAAUUAUUUCUGGGGAAAAACACCUCUUGAAAAAAGCUUCCUUCUUAUUCUUGUGGGUUAUAUCAAACAAUCAUUAGACCCAUUGAGUCAUAUGCUAUCAUGAACUAAAAGUUCUGUGACUUAAAAACUUCUUGGUCAUCCAGGAUUAUCCAUGAUGUGUCGUAUCAUCAACAAUUCUUUAGGGCAUCCCUUGAAGAACCAGAAUAUUAUGAUGCCCAAUGAUUACAAUUGCGUUGCUUGCUCACAAGGUAAAUUAAUUAUUAAACCAUCAUUUACGAAGGUUGAAUAUGAAUCACCAGCCUUUCUAGAACGCAUUCAAGGUGAUAUUUGUGGACUUAUUCAUCCACCUAGUGGACUUUUUCAUCAUUUUAUGGUUUUAAUUGAUGCAUCAACUCGUUGGUCUCAUGUUUGUUUUCUUUCAACUAGAAAUAUUGCCUUCACCAUAUUACUUGCUCAAAUAAUUUGACUCAAGGCACAAUUCCUUGAUAAUCCUAUUAAGAGGUACAAUUCCCUGAUAAUCCUAUUAAGAGAAUUUGUCUUGAUAAUGUUGGUGAAUUUUUCUCUCAAACAUUUCUUGAUUAUUGUAUGUCGGUUGGUAUUGAUGUUGAAUAUCCUGUUGCUUAUACCCAUACUCAGAAUGGAUUAGCUGAAUCUUAAUUAAGAGUUUGCAACUGAUUGCAAGACCAUUACUCUUAAGAACAAAAUUACUCUUGUCUGCUUGGGGGCAUGAUAUUCUUCAUGCUGUCACUUUAAUUCGAAUUCACCCUACAGCUAAUCACGAUUGCUCACCUUUACAACUUGCUUUAGGCUCCCAACCAAAUGUUUCACAUUUUCAUAUUUUUGGUUGUGAUGUCUAUGUUCCCAUAGCUCCACCUCAACGUUCCAAGUUAGGACCUCAACGUCGAAUUGGUAUAUAUGUUGGUUUUAAUUCUCCCUCCAUUAUCUGUUAUCUUGAACCAGCCACAGGUGAUGUUUUUACUGCCCACUUUGCAGAUUGUCAUUUUGAUGAAAAUGUUUUCACGCCAUUAGGGGGAGACAAGUCAAAAGAAUGGCGAGACAUUACAUGGUAUGUGCCCUCCUUGUCUCAUCUUGAUCCUUGCACAAGACAAUGUGAGUUAAAAAUUCAAAGGAUUGUUCAUUUGCAAGGACUUGCAAAUCAAUUACUUGAGGCUUUCACAGAUAUUAAGAAAAUAAUAAAGUCACAUGUGCCAGUUGUGAACGCCCCAACACAUAUUGAUGUCCCUGAAGGACAAAUGGAGAAUGCCAUAGCAAAUGAAUCUAAGACAUGCCUGAAGCAUGGUAGACCUAUUGGCUCAAAGGAUUUAAUUCCUAGAAAAAGAAAAGGAACAACAUAUGAAAAACUUAGUACUCCUGAAGAGUUCACUAAUAUGAAAGGGUCAAAUGAUGAAACCCAAUCUGACAAACAGUUAGCUCCUGAAGAGGUACAAAUUGAUCAAAUACCGGUAUCUAGAAUUGAAGAGAUCUCAAUGAGUCACACGAGAGAAACAAAGGACUGUAGCAAUAUUAUCAUAUAUAAUAUAUUCGCAUUCCAAGUGGCUAUGGACAUCAUGAGAAAUGAUGAAUAUCAAGAACCACAAGUUGUGAAUGAAUGUCGAAAAAUGAAUGAUUGGCCAAAACGGAAAGAAGCAAUCCAAACAGAGCUAAACUCGUUAACAAAACGAGAGGUAUUUGGACUUGUAGUUCAAACACCUGGAAACAUAAAGCCUAUUGGAUAUAAAUGGGUCUUUGUGAAAAAACGAAAUGAGAAUGAUGAAAUCAUAAGAUAUAAAGUACAACUUGUUGCUCAAGGUUUUUCUCAAAGACCUGGUAUAGACUAUGAGGAAACUAAUUCUCCUAUAAUGGAUGCAAUCACACUUCGAUACUUGAUAAAUUUAAUAGUCUCUGAAGGACUAGAUAUGCAUCUUAUGGAUGUUGUUACAACCUAUUUAUAUGGGUCUAUAGAUAUUGACAUAUAUAUGAAAAUCCUUAAAGGAUUCAAAUUGCCUAAAGCAACUAAUCCAAAACCUCGAAACAUGUACUCAAUCAGACUACAAAGAUCUUUGUACGGAUUAAAGCAAUCCAGACGUAUGUGGUAUAAUUGUUUGAGUGAGUAUUUGUUAAAAGAAUGAUAUGUGAAUAAUUCAAUUUGCCCAUGUGUUUUUAUCAAGAAAUCAAAAUUUGGGCUUACAAUAAUUGCAGUGUAUGUGGAUGAUUUAAACCUUAUAGGAACUCUUGAAGAGCUCACAAAAGCAGCCAAUUAUUUAAAGAAGGAAUUUGAAAUGAAAGACUUGGGGAAAACAAGAUAUUGCCUCGGCCUGCAAAUCGAGCAUUGUUCAAAUGGCAUAUUAGUCUAUCAAUCGAAAUAUACAGAGAAAGUAUUAAAACGAUUUUAUAUGGACAAAUCACAUUCAAUCAAUUCCCCUAUGGUUGUUCAUUUACUUGAAGUGAACAAAAGACCCAUUUCGUCUUAAAGAAGAAAAUGAAGAAUUGCUUGGUCCAGAAGUACCAUAUCUCAGUGCAAUCAGUGCACUAAUGUAUCUUGCAAAUUGUACUAGACCAGACAUAACAUUUUCUAUCAACUUACUAGCAAGAUACAAUUCUGCCCCAACUAAAAGGCAUUGGAAUGUGAUUAAACAUAUAUUACGAUACCUUCGUGGAACAAGUGACAUGAGUUUAUAUUAUUCAAAAGAAUCAAAAUCACAAUUGAUUGGGUAUGCAGAUGUAGGGUAUCUUUCAUAUCUUCAUAAAGCUUGAUCUCAAAUGGGAUAUGUCUUUACUUAUGGUGGGACGUUAAUAUCUUGGAGAUCAGUCAAGCAAACACUGGUAGCCACAUCUUCAAAUCAUUUAGAAAUUCUUGCAAUUCAUGAAGCAAGUCGUGAAUGCGUAUGACUAAGGUCAAUGAUCCAACAUAUACAAGAAACAUGUGGACUACUUUCCAUCAGAGGCAAUGCAUCUAUGUUACAUGAAGAUAAUGCUGCUUGUAUUGCACAAAUUAAAGGAGGAUUCAUAAAAGGUGACAGAACUAAGCAUAUCUCCCCUAAAUUAUUCUAUACUCAUAAGCUCCAAAAGAAAAAUGAGAUUGAUGUUCAACAAAUUUGAUUAUGCAAUAAUCUAGCAGAUCUAUUCACAAAGGCGUUACUUUCGACCACAUUGAAAAAGUUAAGGUAUGACAUUGGAAUGCAAAGACUAAGAGAUCUACCAUUUAAAAUGUUGAAGAAAUCAUAAUCAUGUUUACAUGAGAGGAAGAAUGCUAAUAUGGAUAUAUUGCACUAUUUUUUCCUUCGUCCAAGUUUUGUCCCAUUGGGUUUUACUGACAAGGUUUUUAAUGAGGCAGUUACCAUAUUCUUAUGAUCAUCCAAGGGGGAGUGUUAGGAAAUAUGAAAAUUUAUCGGAUUAUGGGAACUUGUGGAUUAUCAUCUAUAUUGAUGUAUAUCUCUUUGUGAUUCCUUGUAAAAGGGAGAUACCUCUAAUGAAAAUCCAUUCUAUUUUCUUCCUACAUUCUAAUUUUUCUUUCUUGUUUUCUUCUUUCACUUUAUAAUUUUACAACAAUUUUUUAUUUUCUUUACUUUUUCUUUUAAUCCACUAAAAACUCUCUAUUUUCUUUCUUUCACAUUUCCCACAAAAUUUUCGGUAACUAAACAUAGCCUAAGAAAAUCAUUCAUAUUAUUUUUAAAUAUUUUUAUUAUGCUACAUGUUGUUGCAAUUCUACUUUUUAAAUAAAAAUUAUUUUUGAAAGUGUUUAUAAGGUUUAGAGUAGAAAAUAAUUAUUUAACUUACAAAUAUAUUUGACAAUUAUUUAUUUAUUUAUUGAAAAUAGCUUUUUGAGAAAUAUUUGUUCUCAAAAUUGUGUGAUGUUUUAAAACAAAUUUAAAGUGUUUAUGAAUUGAUUAGAAAAAUAAUUGAAAAUAUGGAGAAGAUUUUGAAAAACAAAGAAUAAAGUGAGAAAAUUAAUAAUUUUUAUAUUUAGAAUAAGAACCUUCUUUAUUGGAACUCUUGGCAUUCUCCAAAUUAUUAAUUUGGGAGGUCUCUCCACUCUAUUUCAUCCAAAUUACCAACCCAUUCACUCAUUUAGAGUUUUUUCUUAUGUUAAAUUCAACGUCAUGUAUAAAUACUUGUAUUUGAAUUGUCCGAGUAUCAUAUAUGGCAACCUUUUUUCUUUCAACUACUAUAAAAUUAAUUUAACUUUUUAUGAAUAUGCUUAAAAUAUUGGCUUGAACACAAAACAGUGAUAUCUAAGGCAAAGCACAGAGCAGAGGAAGCCAUAACCAAUCUCUAUUGUAGCAUCUUGCCACAAUGCUUAGGCAUAGCUGAGUUGGGUUGUUCUUCUGGACCCAAUGCUCUUUUUGUCGUCCAAGAACUUGUGAUCACAACCUACAAAGUCUAUCAGAAACUAGGUCGUCAGUAGCCGGAAAUUCAAGUGUUCCUCAAUGAUCUUCCAGGAAAUGAUUUCAACACUCAUUAAAACCGUCACAAAAUUUCAACAAAAUUUGUCACAAGAGAUGGGCAAUGGUGUUAGACCAUGCUUUUCCAUGGGACUUCUGGGUUCUUUCUAUUACAAACAUUUCCUUAGCCGAAGUCUACAUUUUGCCCAUUCUUCUUACAGCCUGCAUUGGCUGUCUCAGGUGACCAAGUAUUUGUCCUUUUACAGCUACAAUAAUAUAUUGACAAAGAAGGAACCAUGAAAUUUAUUUGGAGUACAAUUGUUUAUUAGGUUCCUCCAGGUUUAGAGGACAAUAAAGGUAAUAUUUUCAUGUCAAGUUCAAGCCCACCAAGCGCACUUAAGGCUUACUAUGCACAGUUCCAAUAGGAUUUUUCGGUGUUCCUCAAGCAUCGCUCAGAGGAAAUAGUUGGAGGGCGUAUGGUCGUCACAAUCAUAUGGGGAGAAGAAGUGAAGAGCCUACCAGUAAAGAGUGUUGUUACAAUUGGGAGCUUUCGGCUUUGGCUCUCAGGGAUAUGGUCUCAGAGGUAUACAUUACCGUAUUUAAGCUCCUUCAUGUUGUUUCAGUCCAAUGCUGCCAAUUUGUACUUCAUCAUUAAGGAAUAAGGAAUAACUCUUCUUGUGGUAACAAAGAAAUUGCUUAUAAACAAUGCAGGGGCUCAUAGAAGAAGAAAAAUUGGAUUCCUUCAACAUUCCUCAAUGUACGCCAUCUCCUACGUACUGGAAUGAAGCUUGAGAUUGAAGAGGAAGGAUCAUUUGUCAUAGACCGGCUAGAAGUUUUUGAAGUGGACUGGGAUUAUUACGAGAGUGGUGGUCCUUGUAAUGCUGCAAAGGGUAUUAGAGCGGUGGCAAAAUGAAUGUUUGCUGCUCACUUUGGGAGUGGAAUCAUAGAAGAGGUGUUCCGCAGACACACGGAGAGAUUGUUGUUAAUCGCAAUUCCAAAUAGAAGCCUCAGUAUGUCAAUUUGGUUGUUUCCAUGACUGUAAGUGGAUGAUCAAAGUGAACGUUGUCUUUAAUUAUCAUCAAUUUUAAUGUUGCCUUAAAUUUCAAUAAGUAGAAAGAUUCAUAUAAGAUUGGGUAUUUAGAUGAUGAUGAUCAAUUGUCGAACGCAUUGAAUAAAUGUUUGAGUAAAUAGAACUUUUAUUCUGUUGAAGAAAAUACUAAAUAUCUUCAUGAUACUUUUAUUGCAUGCUUGGAUGAUAUAAAUGAAUUUAAAAUUCAGAGUACAUUUAUUGUAUCCCUUAAUUUGAAUGCUUAAGUCCUCAACUAUGUACUUCAAAGAAUAAGGAAGAGAAAAAGAGAGUAUCAUAAUUUUAUGGAGUAAUGACGCCAAGGGUAUUUGCUUUUCUCAUUUGAUUUGUCAUUGUCUAUUUAAAAUACAUUUGUUUCUAUGAUUUAGGGGAUUGAUCAUGGUUUGGUUAAAUCAUCAACACAACAAUGGGAUUGCAACACUAGAAUGGGCUCCAUGCCUUAAUCCCUAUGCUGACUGUGUGAGGGUGCCUUACUCCAUAUGUUGACGAUGCGAGGACGUUUUUCUUUUUUAAUGCUUCUACCUAGAAAUAACAAUAAUAUAACCAUAUUCUACAUUAUAAUAAUUGUUGUCUCAAUGUGAUAUAUAUCUUUGUGUAUCGUUUUAAAACUAACCAUUUUUUUAUAUUUCAGACAGACAUGAAAUUCUAAUUAUAUGGUAAUUGAGCAUGUUAAAAAUUUAGAGUGUAGUUAUUUAUAAAAAUUGAUCUACCUAUAAAUAAAUAAAGGAGUGAAUAAAAAAAAUAAAAAAUAAAAUUGAUCAUCUCCACGUUUUUCUUUUUUAAAUUUUCAUUACCUACAAAUGGGAAUUAAAAAAAUACAAAAAGUUCCUUGAGAUUUUUAAAAUUUGGUUGAAUAUAGGAUUCCCAUUAGGAUGCUGACAAACCAACAUAUGCUAAAGACAACUACACUUUCAUCGUCUAGAUUUAAUAAUAUGUUUGACAACAAAACAUCUUGUCACAAAGGGGGAAUCUACACAAAUUGGAUGGAUACUUGAUCAUGGAAAGCUUAUUUUAGUGAGGCUUACACGCACGUUCUGAAAUAUAAGAGUAAUAAAAUAAGCAAGGCAACAGUAGAUAAACGUGACCAAUGAAGCAGCCGCCAUGUUGACUGUUGGAUGAAGCAGCUUGCCCUGUUGAGUGUUGGUCAUCCACGCUUAGUCAUGGAAACCGUGACAUUUACGAAUUCAGUCUUCUCUCUGGUCAUGCGAUCAGCAACAAUCUUUUUGUACCUGCUGAACACUUCCUCUAUUAUUCCAUCACCGAAGUGGCUUACAAGCAAUGGCUCUGCAACUGCUCUCAUCAACUUGGCCACGUUGUAUCCACCAUCUUUAUGAGCAUCUGAUGGGCAGAAUUCACCGUGGUACGCAUUCCAGUUCACUUCAGAAACCUCCAGCCGAUUUAUGGUGAAGGAUCCUUCCUUUUCAACCUCACAUUUUACUUCAGCUGGGGAAGGUGUAUAUUGAGGAAUAUUGAAGGAAUCCAUCUUCUCCUCAUCUAUGAGCCCCUGCAUUUAAAAAUGGUUAAUUAAUUUACAUGCAAUUUCAUAUAUAGUUACCACACAGGUGCUGUUGCUGAAUGAUUUGAUCUAUACAAAUUGGCAACAUUAAGGGAUGAAAGAAUUAAAACUGUACCUCUGAAACCAUAUCAUUGAGAGCCACAGCUAAGAGCUCCCAGAUAUAGCAACAUUCUUUGCUAGAGGGAUCUUCACUUCUUCUUCCUAAAAAUGUUAAAACCAUAGUCCCUCCUCCUAGUAGUUCCUCCGACCGACACCUGAGAAACAUGGAGAAAUCGCUUUGGAAUUGCUCAUAGUAUGCUUUAAGCACGCUUGGUGGGCUCGAACUGGCCAUGUAAAUAUUCCCUUUGUUCUCCAGCCCUCGAGGAACCUGACGAACAAUUGAAGUUUCUAACUCACUUGCUUUCUUUUUGGUUACUAAUAAAUCAUCAUAAACCAGUAUUUUUAAUUAAAAGCAAAGAGUCACCUGAGACAACCAUUGGAGACUGUAAGAAGAAUGGACAAAAUGAAGACUUUUGCUGGGGAAGAGCCUGCAGUAGAAAGAGCCUGGAACUCCGGUUACAAAACAUGAUUCAGCGCCUGCUCCCAUUGUUUUCUGAAGAUCUUUCUGGAACUUGGGCAAGGAUUUGAAAAUGGUGUUGAAAUCAUUUCCCGGCAGAUCAUUCAAAAACACUUGAAUUUCGGGCAAUUGACGCCCCAUUUUCUUCCCCACCUUGUCCACUGUAGUGACAACUUCCAAGACUGCAAAAAAAGUGUUGGGUCCAGAAGAACAGCCCAAGUCUGCGAUGCAUAGGCUGGCCGGGAAGUUGUUGCAGUAGAGAUUUGUUAUGGCGUCCUCGAUUAUAGGCUUUGUCAAGGAUAUUACUUUUUUCUGCACCAUUAAAGUGGAACUUGUCAUAAUUGAAAACUUUUCAGAAAAACGGCAGUAUAUUGUACCUGCGUGAUAAAAACACAAAAUCUGGAAGUGCAUGGGUGCUACAGAUCAAUCAGCAUGUCUUGACUAUUCAUUCUUUAAUUUAAGAAAAGGAAACAGUGCAUAUAUAUAAUAUAUACAUGUCAGCUGAUGCUUAAAUAUCGAAGAAGAAUUAAAUUUAGCAAGAGACACACCUGAACUAAUGAGUUUUCUGCGUAACUGGUGUCCCCAUUUCCUCCCUUCAUGCAAAGCACUUGAGCUACUUCCAUCUCUUUCUUCCUGCCUCUUCGCUGAUUGCUUCCUCUCAGUUGGAAUGUGGAUUAUGUUGAAGGAGAUGCUCCCCAUUUAUAGAACUUGGAGCCACAUCUUAGUGGAAUUAAUUUUUUCAUCUUCUAUGGGCUCUACUUCCACCGAACCCCCGAUUGGCACUAGUGGAACUGAUAAUUCAGGAUUGAUGUCACAUUGUGGGUAGUCCUGAGUCCUGACGUCCACUAGAAGAUAGCACGCCACAUGCUGUCCACUAAUAUCCGGGUGGGUCCAUGCUACCUAUUCAAAUAUCUAGGUCGGCAACACUUCUGGGAAGAACUCUACAAAAUAAAAAUAGAAAUACUUUAAAAUCAUUCUAAAAAAUAAUCUAUUUUUAAAUACAAAAUCAUUAAAAUAGACUAAAACUUAAACCUAAAAGAUUCGAUUCAUAAUUUAUAUCAUACACUUUCUCGUACCAAACAUAUGGUAAACCUUAUUGGCUAGAUGAGGGCGAAUCUGCCUAUGAGAGUGAUUUUUUUUUUUUUUCAAUAUUUCUCCAUUUUAAAAUUUUUUUUCAUACAUUUUUAUGAUUUAUUUUAUCAUUUGUUAAAGUGGUAAGCAAUCAUUAAAUACACAAAAUAAUUUUUUAUUUUAUUUAUUUAUAUUAUAUCUUCAACUUUAAGAGUGAAUUACUUUAACAAAGGAUAAAAUUAAGAACAACCCAUAAUAAGUACAAGGACAUGAGUCUACUUUAUUUUAACAUUGAUGCCUCAGUUCUAGUAUGAACAUUAGACCAUGUCUCAGGGAAAAAGUCUAAACCUUGUUCUCACCGAGAAAAGUAAAAGGGGGAAAGUGUGAGAAAGGGUGAGAAAGUGUAAAACUGAUGCAGCUUUUUGCAGGUGUCUGCGACAACAUGAGAGACUUAUUGCAUUGAGUUUUGUUCUAAUUGGCUAGAUAUGCCAUCAUUUCCCCUCCCCCCCCUUCAAAAGAAUGUCACAUUUUAUGUUUCACGUGAAUCAUAUCUGCUAAUAAUUUGAGGCGGGUGUUUUAUUUAUUUCCUUUUCCUACACCUACGAAACUUCAAGUGCAUGAUUGACAGAUUUCAAAAAUAAUACUACUAACAUGGACAUGUGGGCAUGAAACACGAUGAUGGAAGUAGGACAAGGUCAAGGUUGGCGCAUGGGUUGGCCGCAGCUACCUUAAAACAAAUUGGUAUUAGUUAUCGGCCACAGAAUAUUGGAGGUACCACAGGAGCAUGACGCUUUCUGAACAACCCUGCAGGCGUUUGUUAGCUGACGUUUCCAUGCAUGACACCAUCUGCCUCAUUUUUUCUUCAAUCUAAUGUGAAGUUUGUCUCCUCUUAUCUUCUUUUUCAAAAUAAUAUCCAUUCAAAUAUGCCAACCAAGUCAAUUUUAGUUGAAAAAUAGCUAUCUGCAAAAAGUUGUGACCGUGGAGGAAAGACGUAACUGAUCUACCACAUGAUGAACUAGUUAAGAUCCCAUGAAUAUUAAGUCAACGGUUUGGUUGGUAUCACAAAGAACAGAUCUUAUCACUAAAAUUAGAUUUUUUUUUUUUUUUUCACACUAAAUGGCCAAGAGUUGGUUUGGAAGGGGAUCUUGGUAAAGUGUUUUUAGUUUUCAACACUUAUAAGUAGAAUCAGUUAGUGUAGUAAUAUUUUUAAUUAUGUGUUGUAUAACAAAAAUUCAUUUUUGAAAUAUGAUUAAAUGUUUCUUUGGAUACACUCUUAUUUUUUGUUUUCAUGUUGAAGACACCAAAAAAACUAACUUUUGGCAAGACCCAUGAAAUUCAAAGUUCAUUCAUUGGAAAGGAUCCGCCCAGAUCUGGUUCCAAAACAAUGGUAAAUUUAUCACUUUUUUUCAUUGACCAUAUCAAAGUGUAAUACCCCAAACCCUAAAUAAAAUCAUAAUUCAAAAAACUCUUUUACAUAGAGAUGAGAAAUAUCAAAGAACAUAGAACUGAAGAUUUGGAGGUUUAGGGUUUGAGGAUCAAUUUUUUCGGGUAAGAUUUUUAAUCCUUAAAUUAAUAUUCUAUAUUCAUUAAUUAGUUUUAAACACUUUAGAUAUUCUUUACAAUAUCUCAAUUUUGAUUAGAGUUCGUUUAAUUAAUUUAUAAGUCAAAAAGAUUAAAAAAUUAUAAACAUAGUUUGAUUUAUUAAUGGAGAUGGACAAAUUUUGAUCACUCAAAUGAAUAGAUCUAGAAAAAAAAUAUAAUAAAUAAAAAAAAUAAGAGUAGUGUGAUUUUCUAGAACAGUGAAGAAAAAAUUAUAAUUAUAAUAAUAUAGAUGUGUGUCGUGUAGUAGAGGGUUUAAAAGAAAAAAAAAAAAAAAAAAAGAAUGCGUGUGUACAUCUAGGAAAUGAAGAAAUAAAAGAAGAAGAAAAAACAAGUGUUAUUAUUAUAAUAAUAAUAAUGGGCGUAGUUGGUGGCUUGGAGUAACGGUGUUGUAGGGUUUUGAAAAGUAAUAUUAAUAUUAAUAAUAUAUAUAUAUAUAUAUAUAUAUAUAUAUAUAUAUAUAUAUAUAUAUAUAUAUAUAUAACACAUUAAGACUAACAUGCCGAGAAAUGUAUAUUUUAGCAAAUAACAUGUUAAGACAUGUCAUUAAGUUGUAUUUAUAAAAAUUGAUGUACCUAUAAAUAAAUAAAGGAGUGAAUAAAAAAAAAAAAUUGAUCAUCUCCACGUUUUUCUUUUUAAAAUUUUCAUUACCUACAAAUGGGAAUAAAAAAAUACAAAAAGUUCCUUGAGAUUUUUAAAAUUUGGUUGAAUAUAGGAUUCCCAUUAGGAUGCAAACAUAUGCUAAAGACAACUACACUUUCAAUAUCGUCUAGAUUUAAUAAUAUGUUUGACAAUAAAACAUCGUGUCACAAAGGGGGAAUCUACACAAAUUGGAUGGAUACUUGAUCAUGGAAAGCUUAUUUUAGUGAGGCUUACACGCACGUUCUGAAAUAUAAGAGUAAUAUAUAUAUAUAUAAUGUAUAUAUAACGUAUAACAUGUGUUCUAAUAAUAGUAAUAAUAAUGGGCGUUGGCUUGGAGUAAUGGUGUGCCAGGUCUUUAAAAGUAAUAUUAAUAUUAAUAAUAUAUAUAUAUAAUGUGUGUAGUUGGUUAAGUGAAAGUUGGAUUAUGGGAAUAAUAAUAAUAAUAAUAAUAAUAGUUUUAUGUAUAGGUUUUAAUUUAAUUUAAGUAUAUAAAGAAAUAAAUAGUGAGGGUAAGAUUAGGAAAGAAAAUGAAUUUUACAAUAAUUUGAAAACUCUGUAAAUUAAUUUAUUAUUGUUUAGCAAGUUGAAAAUAAUAUUGGGUAGUAAUAAUAUUAGCAUGAGAAAUUAAUUAGAAUCCCUAAUACUAAAUAAAAUAUUUUUAGGAUUGUGAAAUUUUUACCUUUAGAUAAUUGUGUAUGAUAUUAUGUUAGGUGAUGAGUAAAUUCGUUCAGCUAAGUACUUCAAGUUUUUGAGCACUUCUUCAAGGUAAGGGAAAUUAAUGCAAAUUUUUAUAAAAGAAAAUAAUUUUCUUUUUAUAUUGUAUUUUGAAAUGUGUAAAAAUAUUAUUUUUAUCUUUAUGCAUGAAUCAAAUAUGUGUUUUGUAUGAAAUGUAUAUUUGAACAUUUUCUUUGUUUAUAAAAAAUGAAAAAUUUAGGAGAUAUGAUGUUUUGUUUUGUAAGUUUGAAUUAAUGAUAUAAAGUGUUUGACUUUACAUUAUAUGACUCUAGUCAACGGGUUAUAAGUUCCCAGAUGAGGUCCCAACAUCAACAGUAGAGGCAACGAGGCUAGUAGUAUUAGAGACAUUCUUCAUUCUACGCUAGAGGUGAGUAGGGUGCUCAGAGGGCGGCUAUUGCUAAAGUAUGUUAUGGUUGUGGGGUAGGAGAUCAUUUAUGGAGGGCUUGCCCAUUAAGGGGUGCACGACAAGCUCAAUUUAAGCCAUAAAGAGGUCCUCAGCAACAACCAAUAUUGCAUUUCCAGCCUCCUCAAUUUCACCUACACUACUACCAGAUGUCGCAGUUAUCCCCAGUAGUGUAGGGAGCCUAGACAACCACUAUGAGUAGUCAGACUCCAUCUUCUCAAGGAUCGAGUGCUAGAAGUAAAGGGAGGCAGGCGGCAGGUAGAGUUUUUGCCUUGACCCCAAUAAAGUUAGAGAAUGACGUCAUUUUGGUGGAAAGUAUGGUUUUGGUCCAUAGUACUUAGGUGCGUAUUUUGUUUGAUACUGGUGCAACUCAUUCUUUUAUUUCUGUAUCUUGUGCUAAUAUAUAGGGGAUGAAAACGAAAAUAGUAAAAAAUCUAUUACUUAUCGAAUNNNNNNNNNNNNNNNNNNNNNNNNNNNNNNNNNNNNNNNNNNNNNNNNNNNNNNNNNNNNNNNNNNNNNNNNNNNNNNNNNNNGGGGAUGAAAACGAAAUAGUAGAAAUCCAUUACUUAUCGAAUCCUUAUGGGUACGAAUUCUAGAGUUGAUAGAAUAUGCAAGGAGUGCAUUAUUACCUUGGUAGAUAGAGCACUUAAGGUGGAUUUGAUGAUUUUGGAUAUGACUAGGUAUGAUGUUAUCUUGGGAAUGGAUUGGUUGACAAUGUAUAAAGCACUUAUUAAUUGUCAUCAUCGUAGGAUAAUAUUUUGUCUGUCAGAUGGAUUUGAGAUUUGCUUUGUUGGGGGGAAGUGUAUUAGUUUUGCCCUUUUCGCAGUCCGAUCCAUGCUAUUAGUAUGUGUUGAGGAAGGGAUCAAUAAAUUUCCUAGCUUGUCUUUUUAGUAAGGAAAAAACCUAGAAGGACUUUACAAAAAUUCUAUUAGUGGGGAAGUUUCAAGAUGUAUUUCCAGGUGAGCUACAAGGUUUACCACCAUAUAGAGAGUUUGAUUUCUCUAUUGAAGUAUAUCCAGGAACGGAUCCUAUCUCGGCAACCCCCUAUAGGAUGGUGCCUCUUGAGUUGAAAGAGUUGAAAACUCAAUUUGAGGAAUUGUUGAGUAAAAGUUUUAUUCGUCCAAAUACAUUACCAUGGGGAGCCCCAAUGUUGUUUAUGAAGAAUAAAAAUGACACAUUAAGGUUGUGUAUUGACUAUAGGAAGUUGAAUAGAGUUACUAAGAAGAAUAAGUAUCAUCUUUCAAUGAUAGAUAAUUUGUUUGAUCAGUUGAAGGAUGCGAAGUGUUUUAGUAAGAUUGACUUGAGAAUUGGGUAUCAUCAAUUGAGUGUUAGAGAAGAAAAUGUCCCCAAGAUUGCUCUUAGAACGAGAUAUGGGCAUUAUGAAUUCUUAGUCAUGCCUUUUAGGUUAACUAAUGUCCCCGCUGCUUUCAUGGAUUUAAUGAACAUAAUAUUUUGUGCUUGCUUGGAUUAGUUUGUGAUUGUCCUUAUGGAUGACAUCUUGAUUUACUCAAGGAGUUUGGAGGAGCAUAAGUAGUAUUUGGUGACCACCCUUAGAACAUUAAGAAGACACCAAUUAUAUGGAAAGUUGGACAAAAGUGAGCUUUGGCUUACUGAAGUGAAUUUAUUAGGCCAUGUGGUUUUUGAGGCAGUAGUAGUGGACCAUUCCAAGGUGGAAAUUGUGCAAGAGUGGCAAAGGCCUACAAAUGUAUUUGAGGUUAAGAGUUUCUUGGGAUUGGUUAGAUAUUAUAGGAUGUUUUUGGAAGACUUCUCUAGAAUUGCAACACCGAUGACUCGGUUGACUAGAAAAUGAGUGAAAUUUGAAUGGAAUGAUGAGUGUGAGAAUGCUUUCCAAGAGUUGAAGUGGAAAUUGACCACUAUUCUAGUGUUAACUACUCUUACUAGUGGAAAGUUGUUUAUUAUUUAAUGUGAUGUUUUUACAGUAAGGCUAUGGUGCGUGCUAAUGCAGCAAGGCAAGGUGAUAGCUUAUGCCUCAAGGCAAUUAAAGUCGCAUCAGCGGAACUAUCCAACAAAUUAUUUGAAGCUUGCAGUAGUGGUGUUUGCCCUUAAGACUUGGAGACACUAUUUGUAUUGAGAGAAGUUUGAGGUGUACUUUGAUCAUAAGAGUUUGAAAUACAUCUUCACUCAAAAGGAUUUGAACUCUAGUCAAAGAAGAUGGAUGGAGACAUUGGAAGAUUAUGAUUUUGCUCUUCAUUACCAUCUUGGAAAGACGAAUAUUGUAGUAGAUGCCUUGAGUAGGAAGAACUAUGGUCAAUUGCCUAGCUUGUGGUUGAGAGAGUUUGAGCUGCAUGCAGUUAUUAAAGAUUUUGAGCUAUGUCUUGGUUGGGAAGUACAGGGUCCAUGCUUGUAUAGUAUAUCGGCUAGACCAUUCAUUAUCCAAAUAAUAGUGGAGACCCAAUUUCAUGAUGAGCUUUUAGAAAAAGUUAAAGCCCAAUUGGUAGAAGGUGAAGCAAAUGAAAAUUGGUCUAUACAUGUAGAUAGGAGUGUGAGAUUUAAAGGAAUAUUGUGUGUGCCAAAGGAUGUAGAGUUGAGGAAUGAACUUCUAGUAGAUGCUGAUAAGGCAAAGUAUACCAUCCACCCUGAGAGUGCCAAAAUGUAUCAAGACUUAAAGAGAUAAUUUUUGUGGAGUGGGAUGAAAUGAGACAUUGCUCAAUAUGUAGCCAAUUGUUAGCAAGUGAAAGAUGAAUACCAAAAGCUUACGAGAUUGUUGCCAAUUUUACCUACACUUGAGUGGAAGUGGGAUCAUAUCACUGUGGAAUUUGUGAUAGGGUUGCUAAGAAUUAGAAGAAAAAAAAUGGAGUUUGGGUGAUUGUGGACUAUCUUACUAAGUCAACUCAUUUUCUAGCCAUGAAGACUUGACUCCAUGAACUCUCUCGUUAAGUUGUAUAUAUAGGAGAUUGUGAGGUUGCAUGGGAUACCUUUGUUUAUAGUGUCUGACAAGGACCUUAAGUUUACUUCUCAAUUUUGGCAGAGUUUACAAAGGGUUAUGAGCACCCAAUUGAAUUUUAGCAUCGCUUUUCACCCUCAAACAGAUGGUUAGUUAGAAAAAGUAAUCCAAAUUUUAGAAGACAUGUUGAGGGCUUAUGUUUUGGACUUUGGAGGGAAUUGGGUAGAGUUCGCUUAUAACAAUAGUUACCAAUCUAGUAUUGGCAUAGCACCUUAUGAAGCACUCUAUGAGAGACCUUGUAGAUCACCCUUGUGUUGAAUAGAGUUGGGUAAUUAAGAGUCGUUUGUUGGGACCUGAGAUUGUCUAAGAGACUAUGAAAAAAAUACAACUCAUCAAGAAAAAACUUAAGAUCACUCAAGAUAGAUAGAAAAACUAUGCAAACCAAAGGAGAAGGGCUUUGGAGUUUGGGGAAAAGGAUUGGGUUUUUAUUAAGGUGUCCCCGUAAUCAAAGUGUGAUGACAACACCAUGGGAUUGAAGAAGCCACUUGGGAUCAUGAAGAAGAAAUUAGGCAACAUUAUUCGCAACUGUUCUUUAAUUUUUGAGGUAAACUCGUUUAAAUUUUGAGACAAAAUUUCUUUCAGGGGGGUAGGAUGUAAUGAUUGAGUAUUUUAAGCCAAGUUGGAAUUUCAAGUUUGAAAAUUCUUCCUUUUUGGUGGUGGUUGAAAAGUCAAAAAGUAGUUGGAAAAUACGUGUCAAUUUUGGAUUGAUGGAAUUUGAAAGAUUUUAUUGGUCAAUCAAGCGAGUUGAAUUUUCGUGCCACGUUAGCUUUUUAGCAGGAAAUUUCUUAGGAUUGUAGAAAUCAAAUUUUUUUCCCGAAAAUCAAAAAGCGAAAACAAAAAUAAAAUAAAUAAAUAAAUUUUAAAAAUUAAAAUAUUUGUGUGGUGUGUGAUAAUUUAUUUUGUGUGUUGUAAAAGAAUGAAUUAAGAAAAGAAAAUGAAUUGAAUUAAGGAAAAAAAAAACUAAAUUAAUAUAAUAUAAUAUAUAUAUAUACAUAUAUUGUUUUUGGAUUGGGCUGUCACCACCUUUAGUGGCUCGUUUAAAUAGAAAAGAAAAAGAACGAAGAAAGUAGAAAAUGAAGGAAAACUUAUAGAAGAGUCUUGGUGACUGCAGUGGAAAAAAAAAAAAACUACUUUUCGAUUGGUUGUUUCAAUGGCCAAACAUCAUCCUUUUCACGUGAAAUUUUAAGGGAAUACUUUACUCGACACGAGGAACAUUCAUACAGUGUUGGAUUUUGUUUUCAACGAUUGGAUCAUUAGAUCUGUGGUAGACGGUUUUAACACUAAAACUUUAAUUAAAUGCCCUUUUCUUAACAAAAAUUAUUGUUUUUGUUGUUAGAAGCUAAAUAAACAAUAUUUGUGAUACGAGGAAUUUUAUUGGAUGAUUUGGGAAUUUUUUUAGAAAUUUUGUGAUGACGAUAUUUUUUUUAUGGUUGUUAAAUGAUUGUGCUUGGGUUAUUAAAAUUAAUGGGAUCAUUGAGGAUAAAUGAAAUUAUGGUAGAAAUUAUGUUGGAUUGAUAUUGGGUAUAUUGAGAACUAAUUGAGAUGUUUUUGGUAAUUUAAUUGUGAAAAUAAUUGUAUUUGGUUAUUGAAAUUAUUGGGAUUGUUGACAAUAAAAGAAAUUUUAGUAUACAUUGUAAUUUUAUUGAUGUUUGGAUUAGUGAGAAUUUUGUAUGACAUUUGUAGAUGAUGAUAUGUAAUUUCAUUGCAUUUCAUAUGCAUCAUGGUUGUGUGAAGGAAAAUAAAAAUUUGUUGUAAGGUUGUAUGAAAUAAAAAAGAAAGAAAAAUAAAAUAAUGAUGAAAAGUAAAGGCCCGUGAAAGGUGAAUUAAGAAGGGAGUGAGAUCCUUAGGGUGAAAGACCAAAAAUUUACCCCGGGAAUACUCUAAACUGGGAGUGUAUUUAGGUACAGACAUGUUUUCUUUAUUGAAAGCUCGAGAACGACAAUACUUUUUAUGACUGUGUGUUACAUAUCCACAUGCAUUUUAUUAAUUGUUGAAAAUUGCUGAAUUGCUAUAAUUAUAGAAACUAAAAUGUUUGGGUUGGUUAAAUUAUGGUAGAAUGUUUAUUUUUUUGUAUACUUGAACCUUAGUAAUCCCAAAUUAACCUUUCCUUGGGUGUAAAGCACUCUACUGAGUAAUGUGAAAUGCUCAUCAUUUCCUUCUUAUAUAUAUUUAAAUGUAGAUGUGAUUCAUGAGGAUCCACAAAUGGGACAAGGAGGGCUUUAAGACGCCUCAGAAGAUUUUGGAGCAGCAUAAUGAAUUGUAGUGUAGUUGUUAUGUUGGUUUAUUUUGGAACUUGUAUUAACAAAUUUUGAAAUUAUAUAUUUGUAUUGAGACUUUAUUUUGAUUAAUUUGCUUAUAUUGUGGACUUUCAUUUUAGACUUGAGUUGGAGAUUACAUUGUUAUUGAAUUUCUUUGUUGCUCUUAAGUAAUGAUUGUUAUAUUGAUAAAUUGGAAUGUUAGUUAAAGGAAGUUCUAGUGUGAUUUAUAUUUAAAAAAAGAAAAAGAAAAUUCAAAGCGUUUUAGUUUACUGUUAGCUUGGAUUAGGAGGAACCCUUAGGAUCAAAUCUUUGACUUUGGAUCAUGGGCCAAAUUUUGAGUCGCCCAAAAUUCGGGUCGUGACAGCUCUAAGUCCUCAACUAUGUACUUCAAAGAAUAAGGAAGAGAAAAAGAGAGUAUCCUAAUUUUAUGGGGUAAUGACGUCAAGGGUAUUUGCUUUUCUCAUUUGAUUUGUCAUUGUCUAUUUAAAAUAAAUUCUUUUCUAUGAUAUAGGGCUUGAUCGUGGUUUGGUUGAAUCAUCAACACUACAAGCGUACGUGUAACAUGGGAUUGCAACACUAGAAUGGGCUGCAUGCCUUAAUCCCUAUGCUGACUGUGUGAGGGUGCCUUAGUCCAUAUGUUGACGACGAGGGAUAUACAUACCUUAUAAUCAUUGUGGUCUCAAUGUCAUAUAUAUUUGUGGAUCGUUUUAAAGCAAUCCAUUUAUAUAUAUAUAUAUAUAUAUAUAUAUAUAUAUAUAUAUAUAUAUAUAUAUUUCAGAUUUUCCAAAAUAUCAAUGUGAAAAAUCUAGUUGGCUUUUUACAACACAAGAUUGCUUUAUAUAAAUCUUAAGGUAUGACAUUAAGACUAACAUGCCGAGAAAUGUAUAUUUUAGCAAAUGACAUGUUAAGACAUGCAUGUCAUUAAGUUGUAUUUAUAAAAAUUGAUCUACCUAUAAAUAAAUAAAGGAGUGAAUAAAAAAAAAAAUUUGAUCAUCUCCACGUUUUUCUUUUUUAAAUUUUCAUUACCUACAAAUGGGAAUAAAAAAAUACAAAAAGACGUUCCUUGAGAUUUUUAAAAUUUGGUUGAAUAUAGGAUUCCCAUUAGGAUUCUGACAAACCAAACAUAUGUUAAAGACAACUACACUUUCAUCGUCUAGAUUUAAUAAUAUGUUUGACAAUAAAACGUCGUGUCACAAAGGGGGAAUCUACACAAAUUGGAUGGAUACUUGAUCAUGGAAAGCUUAUUUUAGUGAGGCUUACAUGCACGUUCUGAAAUAUAAGAGUAAUAAAAUAAGCAAGGCAACAGUAGAUAAACGUGACCAAUGAAGCAGCCGCCAUGUUGACUGUUGGAUGAAGCAGCUUGCCCUGUUGAAUGUUGGUCAUCCACGCUUAGUCAUGAAAACCGUGACAUUUACGAAUUCAGUCUUCUCUCUGGUCAUGCGAUCAGCAACAAUCUUUUUGUACCUGCCGAACACUUCCUCUAUUAUUCCGUCACCGAAGUGGCUUACAAGCAAUGGCUCUGCAACUGCUCUCAUCAACUUGGCCACGUUGUAUCCACCAUCUUUAUGAGCAUCUGAUGGGCAGAAUUCACCGUGGUACGCAUUCCAGUUCACUUCAGAAACCUCCAGCCGAUUUAUGGUGUAGGAUCCUUCCUUUUCAACCUCACAUUUUACUUCAGCUGGGGAAGGUGUAUAUUGAGGAAUAUUGAAGGAAUCCAUCUUCUCCUCAUCUAUGAGCCCCUGCAUUUAAAAAUGGUUAAUUAAUUUACAUGCAAUUUCAUAUAUAGUUACCACACAGGUGCUGUUGCUGAAUGAUUUGAUCUAUACAAAUUGGCAACAUUAAGGGAUGAAAGAAUUAAAACUGUACCUCUGAAACCAUAUCAUUGAGAGCCACAGCUAAGAGCUCCCAGAUAUAGCAACAUUCUUUGCUAGAGGGAUCUUCACUUCUUCUUCCUAAAAAUGUUAAAACCACAGUCCCUCCUCCUAGUAGUUCCUCCGACCGACACCUGAGAAACAUGGAGAAAUCGCCUUGGAAUUGCUCAUAGUAUGCUUUAAGCACGCUUGGUGGGCUCCAACUGGCCAUGUAAAUAUUCCCUUUGUUACUCUCCAGCCCUCGAGGAACCUGACGAACAAUUGAAAUUUCUAACUCACUUGCUUUCUUUUUGGUUUCUAAUAAAUCAUCAUAAGCCAGUAUUUUUAAUUAAAAGCAAAGAGUCACCUGAGACAACCAUUGGAGACUGUAAGAAGAAUGGACAAAAUGAAGACUUUUGCUGGGGAAGAGCCUGCCGUAGAAAGAGCCUGGAACUCCGGUUACAAAACAUGAUUCAGCGCCUGCUCCCAUUGUUUUCUGAAGAUCUUUUUGGAACUUGGGCAAGGAUUUGAAAAUGGUGUUGAAAUCAUUUCCCGGCAGAUCGUUCAAAAACACUUGAAUUUCGGGCAAUUGAUGCCCCAUUUUCUUCCCCACCUUGUCCACCGUAGUGACAACUUCCAAGACUGCAAAAAAAGUGUCGGGUCAAGAAGAACAGCCCAAGUCUGCGAUGCAUAGGCUGGCCGGAAAGUUGUUGCAGUAGAGAUUUGUUAUGGCGUCCUCGAUUAUAGGCUUUGUCAGGGAUAUUACUUUUUUCUG